CAGUCGAACGGAGAAUUUUAUUUCGGUAGAAUUCUUAGUGGCGAACGGGUGAGUAACGCGUAGGCAACCUGCCCUUUAGACGGGGACAACAUUCCGAAAGGAGUGCUAAUACCGGAUGUGAUCAUCGUGCCGCAUGGCAGGAUGAAGAAAGAUGGCCUCUACAAGUAAGCUAUCGCUGAAGGAUGGGCCUGCGUCUGAUUAGCUAGUUGGUAGUGUAACGGACUACCAAGGCGAUGAUCAGUAGCCGGUCUGAGAGGAUGAACGGCCACAUUGGGACUGAGACACGGCCCAAACUCCUACGGGAGGCAGCAGUGGGGAAUCUUCCGCAAUGGACGAAAGUCUGACGGAGCAACGCCGCGUGAGUGAUGAAGGAUUUCGGUCUGUAAAACUCUGUUGUUUAUGACGAACGUGCAGUGUGUGAACAAUGCAUUGCAAUGACGGUAGUAAACGAGGAAGCCACGGCUAACUACGUGCCAGCAGCCGCGGUAAUACGUAGGUGGCGAGCGUUGUCCGGAAUUAUUGGGCGUAAAGAGCAUGGAGGCGGCUUAAUAAGUCGAGCGUGAAAAUGCGGGGCUCAACCCCGUAUGGCGCUGGAAACUGUUAGGCUUGAGUGCAGGAGAGGAAAGGGGAAUUCCCAGUGUAGCGGUGAAAUGCGUAGAUAUUGGGAGGAACACCAGUGGCGAAGGCGCCUUUCUGGACUGUGUCUGACGCU
rnacentral:rRNA from 1 species